GUAGUUGGUCUCGGUUACUUGGAAAGCCCUAACUGUUCCCAACGCUUCACCGGAGAGACACGAAAGCAAAUGGUUGAACUUUUCGAUAAUUGGAAUGCUUUUGUCAUUGUGAACUAGAGUCUCAAAUAAACCUAUGAAGUUUUUAAAGUCCGAAAAGUUGCCGCUGAACUGCGGCAGAGCUAACUUCGGAAGGCGAGCACGAGUUGGGCCACCAUAAGCUGGUACUGCCGGUAUUGUCUCAUCAGCUGUCUUUAAUGCGCAAAUGAGAGACAUUAAUUUUGCCUUUGUGACAUCGGGACCAUGGCCCGAUACCUAUCGAGGACCGUUCUCUUGGGGGCCCAGUGGAUUGGCAAGGCGUUUGUAUCGAUCAGGAGAUCAAGAAGUGGGAGGCCCAGACCGUAUCGCAGGCCCAGUCAGGACAUGCAUAAAUGAUUGGAGGUCUACUCUUCUUAUGUCAAUUCUGCUUGUUUUGAACAACGUGGGCAAAUUCUAAGCCUCGCACUAAGAAACGAUUCACAAAAGCUUUCCUUUCGCCCAUGUAUUUCCCUAAUGUGAAUUGCUAAGCCCGGUGCUAACAGGUGUCGCAGAACGGAAAUGUACUAGACUGUACAGUAUCAGAGCUGCCGAAAUCAAGCCAUGACAUUCAAAUCCACUCAAGAACACGUUGUCAAAAAAUUGGAUUGCUGUAGUUGGCCAUGCUCGGUUCAAAACCAGUCGUAGUACAAGUGAAAGUAUACGAGCUAUUGAAAAAAUCAAACAAUUCAGUAUCGUUUCGGGCUCCAUAGGGGCAACAUGUCCUAAAAAAAACUUAGUUUCGGUUGUAAAAAUAACAAAAUUUUUGUGUUAAAAAUAAAAUUUUCCCAAAAUUGAAAAUGUGAAAAAAACCAGAAGAGCACUUACACAAAUCGGCAGUUAAGGCUAAUGGCAGACAUUCUUAGACGUCGAUAUAUCAGCCAAGACACAUACACGCACAAUGUCAUGCGACACAACGCGUUGCAACGCUGCUAGGAAAGCCCUGUAAACUGAUGUGACGCUCUCCGUUGGAUGGAACAACAUUGGCAACACUGGCACACUCUUAUUUCGAUAUUUGGAAUGAUGGCAUCUUCUACUUCUACGAAUCACAAGGCGACAACUCUACUUAAACUGGCGAACAAUCCUCUACUCUGGUACACAGCCAUCCUUGACGGA